rfam:Hordeum vulgare subsp. vulgare, WGS project CAJW01000000 data, contig: morex_contig_158148
AUAUUACUCCCUCCGUCCGGAAAUACUUGUCCUAAAAAUGUACAAAAUGAAUGUAUCUAUAAUCAAAAUAAAUCUAGAUACAUUUACUUCUAGGACAAUUAUUUCUGGACGAAGGAAGUAUUAU